GGUUUGUUCUCAAGAAGCUAUGGGAGAAUUUCCACACGAGGCGUUCGAAAAACAGGCGGGGAUAGAACCCGUUGGUGCUGAGCACGACGACCCGGCCUCCCCAUGGUUACACAGGACAUCCGUCAGUGUCCAGCCUGCCGCUGCUCCCGUUUCAAGUUUCCUGCCACCUAAUGUCCCACCUUCCGGUGUUAUUCUGGCCAACGGUCCCGGCAACGUUCAAUCAUACCAAGUCCCAGGCGUCGGUAUGACUCUGGGAGCUGGAAAGAAGGCAAGUCGUUUACCGUGUGCUUCACGGCAACUGAGUUGAUUGCUUCCUGAGCAGAUUCCUUUCAUUUUAAUCAACAACGUUGCAGCAAGUGUAUCACAGGGUAGGAAUUUUGUACUCAAUCGGUUUGCAAAUGAGUAUUUACAUCCACCUUUCAGAGGCGGCUCAAAUUCCGAGUUCUGAGCAAGCGGAAAGUACGGCUUCAAUUGCAUGCUAAACUGAAAGUUGCUUCACUCUUGCUUGACAGUGACCAGGCUUUGCGUGAACACAAUGGGACCCGGAUUUGUGUAUUCACCAGCGUAAGCCUAUCAAAUUGUUAGCCGUAUAUCGUAAGUACUAGCGCGUCGCCGCACUACAGAAGACAUCUCUGCGAGCCUGCCGCGGCAGCAGCAGCAAGCGUCGAGGAAGUGUGAUAGGAUCUGCGUUGGUAAUAUGUUCCUGCGUGAGGCGGCCGCAUUUGGCAACUGCCGCUGCACUUCCAGCCGCAAUUAUGUGUUCUGAUUGUACGAACUAAAGACGAAGAUGCCCCGAGAAGUCAAUCUUCUUGGCGUAUGUAGUAACAAUAUCCUUUAUCGGAUCUAGGCUUCCGAGCAUUUCCUAGAUCAUUGCUUUCCCUCUGGAUCCAGUACGCGUAACAGGAAUGCGGACAUUUCUCGAAAUUCCAAUAUAGCUUCGAGAGAUGGUUUUUUCACUUUUAAGAGCAUCCUCUGUUUUCGUAAACAACGCUCAUCUUCCGUGAAUACCGUUCAGGAAAAGAAUUGCCAAACUGGUCAGUCAGCUGUCCCCAGCAACACUCAAAGAGAUCUUUCCAG
rnacentral:lncRNA from 1 species